AUGGUUUGGUGCCUUCGGGAACUCUGAUACAGGUGCUGCAUGGCUGUCGUCAGCUNGUGUUGUGAGAUGUUGGGUUAAGUCCCGCAACGAGCGCAACCCCUAUCCUUAGUUGCUAGCAGGUAAUGCUGAGAACUCUAGGAGACUGCCGGUGAUAAACCGGAGGAAGGUGGGGACGACGUCANGUCAUCAUGGCCCUUACGUGUAGGGCUACACACGUGCUACAAUGGCGCAUACAGAGUGCUGCGAACCUGCGAAGGUAAGCGAAUCACUUAAAGUGCGUCGUAGUCCGGAUUGGAGUCUGCAACUCGACUCCAUGAAGUCGGAAUC
rnacentral:rRNA from 2 species